GACGCAUUUUUUCCUGAAUACGUAUUCCAUUUCUGACCGUAUAAACAAGGCCGAAAACAGUCGUUCUUAGCAGAGCCGCCCCCCAUUGAGAAAAGGAUAAAGAGAAAAUAGGACCUCUGUGUCCCUCUCUCACUCUAUCUGCUUUUUGUUUGUUUCUCUGUCUUUGGUGCUUGCUGGGUAUUAAUCUCUGCAGAAAAUAGAGAAAACCCAACAAAAAAAAGUGAACUUUGUGGGUUAUCUUUCUACUUGAUAGUCUCUGAGGAAGAGAGAGAGAGAGAGAGAGGAGUUUUUGCUCUUUGUUCUUUUUUUUCUUUGCUAGAGAGAGAGAGAGGAGAGAGAGGAGAGAGAGAUGGAGAUGAUAUAUUACCAGCCUUCUUACCAGGAGUCCUUGAGUGCUUUAGAGGCAGAUAUACAGCAUGCAAAUUCUCUAGCUGCUGCAAUUCCGAGAGGCAAAGGCGGUGCCCGGUUUCAGAUGAAAUUGGUUUACAAUCAGUUGGCUCCCCUAUUUAUGUUUUUGUUGCAAUGGAUUGAUUGCUCAUGCACUUGCCUGCUCCCUAGAUACCUAAAUUUCUUCCACAUACGUGUCUACAAGGUAUACACAGACGGUAGGCCUAGUCUUUCAACUCAUGGAAGGAAAGCUUCUAUAAGGGACUUCUAUUCUGUCAUCUUACCGUCUCUUCAGCGGCUUCACGGGGAUUUGGGGGAGUUGGAUGAUGCUAAGGAAGGACAUCCUAGGCUUCCUAGCAUGGAAAGCUCUGGCAAGAAGAUGAUUAAGGGAGAUGGUAGCCUUGUCAAUGCUGAGGUGGAGAGGGAAGAGGAGUGUGGGAUUUGUUUAGAGCCUUGCACCAAAGUGGUCUUGCCUAAUUGCUGUCACGCAAUGUGCAUCAAAUGCUACCGCAAUUGGAAUAGAAAGUCGGAGUCUUGCCCAUUUUGUCGUGGUAAUAUAAAGAGAGUUAAUUCUCAAGACUUAUGGGUGCUCACUUGCAACGAUGAUGUGGUUGACACCGAAACAGUUUCUAAAGAGGACUUGUUGCGUUUCUACCUCUAUAUCAACAGCCUGCCGAAGAUUACCCAGACGCCCUCUUCUUGGUGUAUUACGAGUAUUCUAAUUUGUUCUAAGAAGCGGAGAAUGGUGUACAGAUACAAAAAAAGCCGUCCUGUCAAAUGUAAAUAGAAUCCGGUAAGGAACUUCUAUUGAAUUUUUACAAAAAAUAACAAGUUUCAAAUGUUAUGCAUAUCGAAAAUUUAGAAGUCAGUGUAAGACUGCUGCAUUACUGAUGCCAAAGUCUGCAUCUUGAGAAUAUAUUUAUGUUAUGAGUUGAAUCCGGUCGACAACUCUAGUUCUCUAGCCUCCCUACACUCGUCCUGCGAGUGCUCUAAGUAUUCAAAUUAGAGUGCGGACGGCUAAAAACGGAGUGUGAAAAUCGCUAUUCUUUUUCGUUUGCUUGCCGAAAUACUUGACACAUUUUAAAACAUGAAGCAUCAUUAGGUUGUUGAUGUAAUCCCCUGGCUUAUUUGUUAGCAUUAUAUUAUUACACCUUCUCU